CUCCCGUCGGGUCCCCGGCCUGCGCUCGGGGAGGACCCGGGGGUGCGAGCACAGCGCCCGCCUGUGCACCGGCCCUGUUCUCCAGGAAGCUCUCAGAGAACCGAAGGAUUACUGUCCACAAACAAACAAACAGCACCAAAACUCCCAACAAUAAGAACAACAGAAAUCCCACCUAAGGCACCAAAGGCUUGCCAGAAGAAAGGAUUUCUCUCCUGUUUUCACCCACUCCCUGUGCCUCCUGACUGACCCCGGUGCUUCCCCCAUGGCUCUGCAGAUCUUGGUGUGCCCACUCCUCUUGGGAACUAACAGAGGGAAUUUCCUGGAAGGCAGGGUCUGUGUUCAUCUCCCACAGAGCAUAGAGCACAGUGGAUGCUGAGGAAAUGGUGAAUGCUGGAAAGGAGCAACAGGAUGCCAAGGCCAGAAGUUCACCUUUGUGACCAAACUGGCUGAAACUGGUGAGAUGCAAGACGGCAGCUCACUUGACCUCCAAAGAACCUCUAACUUCAUUAUAAUAUAAUUUCCUUGCUAAAUGACACUCCCAUCAGUGUCAUGACAGUUGACAUUGCCAUGACAAUGGCCAGAAGAAACCAUAAAGGGACAAAAAGGAAGGUAGUAACUCUGGUUCCAAGGAGUUCUCCCAUUUCCAGAAAAGACAUGGAUAUUCCUCCCCUUGCUUUUAAUGCCCAACUUUUUCAUUAAAGAUGAAGCCUGUAUCUAUGGUUUCCCAGCUCUCAGGAGCUGAGAAGUUGAUUUGUGAGCCAAACUCCCACUUCUCAAUAAAGGCCGUCGAAUAAAGCAUGCACUGUUUCAUGCUUACUUUUGGGUUCGUGUAUUGGCUUCACAGCACAGAACAGGAAAAGGCUCCAUCUUCUGGGGGACAGGCUUUGUUGGUAACAAAAGGACUGGCCCAGAGUCAGAGUUAGGAAGUGAUAAAGCCAGGUGUCUGCC
rnacentral:lncRNA from 10 species